AAAGGUAAAUGUUUUGAAUUGUUUCAGGACAUUCAGGCAGCCAUGACAAAGAUAUUCCUGAAAGGGACUUGGAACUGCUACAGAAGUGGCCAGAAGUAUGUGUGUUUUUCAGUUGCACAUUGGCGUGUGUGGGCGAUACAUCUACAGUGAUGAGCUUCGUAUCCGAGGGAGGUGAACGCCCGAUUCAAACAUGUAUUUCUUCAUACAUUUCUCUGUCAUCUUUGGAGUUUCUGGUCUAGUGAGAGGCGCAGACAAUCAAAUGCAGGUAAGAAGUAAAACCACAGAAGGCUAGGAGAGCUUCAGACAGAGCUAUCCUGGUCUGAGAGCCAGGGAAGAUUCUCUAAGACACGGGAUGAGAAAUAAAGGGGCC
rnacentral:lncRNA from 1 species